rnacentral:lncRNA from 1 species
GGUUAUGGAGGAGGAAGAGGAGGAUAUGGUGGUGGAGGACCUGGAUAUGGCAACCAGGGUGGGGGCUACGGAGGUGGUUAUGACAACUAUGGAGGAGGAAAUUAUGGAAGUGGAAAUUACAAUGAUUUUGGAAAUUAUAACCAGCAACCUUCUAACUACGGUCCAAUGAAGAGUGGAAACUUUGGUGGUAGCAGGAACAUGGGAGGACCAUAUGGUGGAGGGAACUAUGGUCCUGGAGGAAGUGGAGGAAGUGGGGGCUAUGGUGGAAGGAGCCGAUAUUGAGCUUCUUCCUACUUACCAUGGCAUUGAUAUGAACCAUGGACAAGUAUAUUCUGCUGCCACAAAGACUGUAAAGUGCUUCAUUUCAACAGCUGAGGAAGGUGUCUUGCUGCAGGUAACUAAUGAAGAAGUGGUCAACCACAGAGUCUUCAAGAAAUAAGAAAUUCUGUACCAUCUGAAAGUAGUUCUUGUUGGUGCCUUCAUUUAAGAAGCACUUUUAAGAUAAAAGGGAAUGUUUUCUGAUUAAAAACUUCAUUUAGUACAGGUUCUUAAUAAAAUUACAAAAAUGAGUGUUGAUUGUAAAGGUUAACAUCAGAUUAGCUAAGGAUAAUGUGUUAUGUUUUAAAUUAGGAUUUGUGAGUAGACAGAUAAGCUCUAUUUUAAAUACAAGUUUUAUAAAAUAAAUACUUUUGUAACC